rnacentral:lncRNA from 1 species
AGUCAGCAUGGAUUCGGAUCUAGCUGCAGCUCGUGAUAAAGAGGGAGAUGAUGUGCAGGAGGCUGAAGGCCAGACCUCAGCUUCUGAAAGUGAAGAGCAGGAUACAAAGAACAGAAAGAGGAAGAAAAAGAGGAAGAACACGGUAAAGAAGAAAAAGAGACGUCUGGACAAGAAGAAAAAGGUGAAUAAUGCCAGUCUUUUUGUAGAGAGUGAUGGUGGAGAAUGGAAAGAUACAUUUACAGUCUCACAUUCUGUCCAAUUUAAGAGAAAUGACAAAAACUAAACAUCCACCAGCUUCAGAGUGACCUUUAAAAAGAGGGUAACUUUAGCAGAUUUUGAUUUAGCGAACUAGAGAAUAUUAGAAAAGAUUAGAAAAUAGUAGAUGUCUAAAUGAACAUUCUAUGGAAUUUUAAUGUAAGCUUGAGCAAAGUAAAG